rnacentral:rRNA from 1 species
AUGGCGGCGGCGGCAGUUCGUGAGCCGCAACAGCUUCUAUCCAUCCCCCAUCCAAGUACCGGCGUCGGCCACGCCUCCAACUCCAGCAAGACAGUGCCAAUAUCAACCACGCCGCCGGCUCCGGCAAAUGCGAAGCGACUGAUUGGCCGGAAAUUCAGUGAUGCGUCUGUGCAAGGAGAUAUCAAGCUAUGGUCUUUCAAAGUCAUUUCAGGCCCUGCUGACCGACCGAUGAUGGCGGUUCAGUACGGGGGUGAGGAGAAGCAUUUCACGGCAGAAGAGAUCUCCUCCAUGAUACUCGUUAAGAUGAAGGAGACUGCCGAGGCCUACCUCGGCACGUCGGUGAAGAAUGUCGUCAUAACUGUCCCUGUCUACUUCAACGACUCCCAACGCCAAGCCACCAUUGACGCCGGUGCGAUUGCUGGCCUCAACGUCAUGCGCAUCAUCAACGAGCCCUCCGCAGCAGCCAUUGCCUACGGCCUUGACAAGAUGCCCUGCAGCGGUGAAGUGAAAACGGUACUCAUCUUUGAUCUCGGCGGCGGUACUAUGGAUGUCUCCAUCAUCAGUGUACAAAAUGGCGUCUUCACGGUCAAGGCCACGUCUGGUGACACCCAAAUGGGCGGGCAGGAUCUCAACAACCGGAUGGUGGAACACUUUGUGCAAGAUUUCCUCAAGAAGCACAGGAGUGACAUUAGAGGCAGCCCGAGGGCGCUGAUGCGGCUGAGGACGGCAUGCGAGAGGGCCAAGAGGAUGCUGUCCUCCGCGGUUGAGGCCAAAUUCGAGAUCGACUCGCUGCACGACAGCAUUGACUACUAUGGGAGGAUCACUCGUGCCCGUUUCGAGGAGCUCAACAUGGACCUCUUCCGCAAGUGCAUCAAGCACGUCGAGAAAUGCCUCAGCGAUGCCAAGAUGGACAAGUCUCAGAUCCAUGACGUCGUGCUCGUGGGCGGCUCCACCCGGAUCCCCAAGGUGCAGCAGCUGCUCCAGGAUUUCUUUGAUGGGAAGACGCUCUGCAAGAGCAUCAACCCCGACGAGGCCGUCGCCUACGGCGCCGCGGUCCAAGCUGCCGCCCUCAGCGGCGAGUGUGACCGCAAGGGGCAGGACUUCCUCCUGCUGGACGUCACUCCACUCUCGCUUGGGGUCGAGGUAUAUGACUGGCGAGUGGACCAUUAUAUACCUGGUGUCAUGAGCGUGCUGGUUCCCCGGAACACCACCAUCCCUCUUAAGAGGGAGGGGCGAUACACGAGUGGAUUCGACAACCAGACGAGCGUGCUCAUCAAGGUGUACGAGGGUGAAGGGGAAUGGACCAAGGACAACAGGCUUCUGGGAGAGUUCAUGCUCGAGGGCCUCGUCCCGGCGCCAAGGGGCGUGCCGAAGAUCAUUGAAAUGAUGGAAGUCGAAGCGAACGGCAUCCUGAAGGUGACGGCGGUGGACAUGACAACCGGGAGCAAGAAGAGCAUCAACAUCACGACCAACAAGGGCGGGCUGAGCAAGGAGGAUAUCGAACGCAUGGUGAAGGACGCCGAGAAGUAUAGGUCGAGGACAGGAAGAGGAUAA